rnacentral:rRNA from 1 species
GUCGUGAGAUGUUCGGUUAAGUCCGCUAACGAGCGCAACCCUCGCCGUAUGUUACAAGUGUCAUACGGGACUGCCGGUAAAAAGCCGGAGGAAGGUGAGGAUGAUGUCAAGUCAGCAUGACCUUUAUAUCCAGGGCUACACACACGCUACAAUGGUCUGUACAAUUGGUUGCCAAGCCGCGAGGCGGAGCCAAUCCGUAAAGCAGGCCUCAGUUCAGAUUGCAGUCUGCAACUCGACUGCAUGAAGCCGGAGUUGCUAGUAACCGCAGGUCAGCAAUACUGCGGUGAAUACGUUCCCGGGUCCUU